CGGCGACCGCUUCCCGAGGUGGAGGGGAGGCUUAUUUCUGCUCCCAGAGGUGGGAAAUUUUGCUCAGGACGCAAUGCGGUGUUAUAUGAUAAACCAGAUAUGAUAUACCUGAUGGGAUCCAUCAGACUUACUUGAGCUUGUCCAAAAAUGAAACAUCUGGUUGAAGAUAUUUUUUCAGCUUAUUCAGGGCUGAAAUGAAUCAUUGUCAAGAAGUACAUACACCUCCAGCAGGUGAUUCAUCCCUUGCCAGGGUGCUGAGAGUCUCUUGGGGACUGACUGCAAAGGCUGUAAAGGCAG